UACAGAGGGUGCGAGCGUUGUCCGGAAUUAUUGGGCGUAAAGAGCUCGUAGGUGGUUUGUCGCGUUGUUCGUGAAAACUCACAGCUCAACUGUGGGCGUGCGGGCGAUACGGGCAGACUAGAGUACUGCAGGGGAGACUGGAAUUCCUGGUGUAGCGGUGGAAUGCGCAGAUAUCAGGAGGAACACCGGUGGCGAAGGCGGGUCUCUGGGCAGUAACUGACGCUGAGGAGCGAAAGCGUGGGGAGCGAACAGG
rnacentral:rRNA from 1 species